UACGGGGGGAGCAAGCGUUGUUCGGAUUUACUGGGCGUAAAGGCGCGUAGGCGGCCCGUGUGUGUCAGGUGUGAAAGCCCGGGGGCUUAACCCCCGGAAUUGCGCCUGAAACUACAUGGCUAGAGCAUUGGAGAGGGUAGCGGAAUUCACGGUGUAGCAGUGAAAUGCGCAGAUAUCAGGAAGAACACCCGUGGCGAAGGCGGCUCUCUGGGACGGUACUGACGCUGAGACGCGAAAAGCGUGGGGAGCGAACAGG
rnacentral:rRNA from 1 species